AUACACAUGCAAGUCUCCGCACCCCUGUGAAAACGCCCUUCAAUCCCCACUAGGGAUAAGGAGCUGGUAUCAGGCUCGAAAUUCUGCCCAAAACACCUAGCUAUGCCACACCCACAAGGGAACUCAGCAGUGAUUAACAUUGAAUAUAAGCGACAGCUUGACUCAGUUAAAGUAAAAAGAGCCGGCCAAUCUGGUGCCAGCCGCCGCGGUUACACCACGUGGCUCAAAUUGAUCAUACUCGGCGUAAAGCGUGAUUUAAGACAUACUUUGUUGAAGUUAAACUUGAACUAGGCUGUAACACGCUUGUUUAUAAGAAAAUCAAAAACGAAAGUUACUUCAAUUUAUACCACUUGAACUCACGACAGUUGGGGUACAAACUGGGAUUAGAUACCCCACUAUGCCCAACCGUAAACUUUAAUUUACACUAUAAUCGCCAGGGAACUACGAGCUAAGCUUAAAACCCAAAGGACUUGACGGUACCCCAUAUCCACCUAGAGGAGCCUGUCCUAUAAUUGAUAACCCCCGUUUAACCUCACCAUUUCUCGCUAUUCAGCCUGUAUACCUCCGUCGUCAGCUUACCACGUGAGCGAACAUUAGUGAGCUU
rnacentral:rRNA from 1 species